GAAAUGCGAUAAGUAAUGUGAAUUGCAGAAUUCAGUGAAUCAUCGAAUCUUUGAACGCACCUUGCGCUCCUUGGUAUUCCUUGGAGCAUGCCUGUUUGAGUAUCAUGAAAUCUUCAAAGUAAAUCUUUUGUUAACUCAAUUGGUUUCUACUUUGGUAUUGGAGGUCUUUGCAGCUUCACACCUGCUCCUCUUUGUUCAUUAGCUGGAUCUCAGUGUUAUGCUUGGUUCCACUCGGCGUGAUAAGUUAUCUAUCGCUGAGGACACUGUAAAAGGUGGCGAAGGUAAAUGCAGAUGAACCGCUUCUAAUAGUCCAUUGACUUGGACAAUACUUUUAUGAUCUGAUCUCAAAUCAGGUAGGACUACCCGCUGAACUUAAGC
rnacentral:misc_RNA from 1 species